AAUGGGUCAGCGACUUAUAUUCUGUAGCAAGGUUAACCGAAUAGGGGAGCCGAAGGGAAACCGAGUCUUAACUGGGCGUUAAGUUGCAGGGUAUAGACCCGAAACCCGGUGAUCUAGCCAUGGGCAGGUUGAAGGUUGGGUAACACUAACUGGAGGACCGAACCGACUAAUGUUGAAAAAUUAGCGGAUGACUUGUGGCUGGGGGUGAAAGGCCAAUCAAACCGGGAGAUAGCUGGUUCUCCCCGAAAGCUAUUUAGGUAGCGCCUCGUGAAUUCAUCUCCGGGGGUAGAGCACUGUUUCGGCAAGGGGGUCAUCCCGACUUACCAACCCGAUGCAAACUGCGAAUACCGGAGAAUGUUAUCACGGGAGACACACGGCGGGUGCUAACGUCCGUCGUGAAGAGGGAAACAACCCAGACCGCCAGCUAAGGUCCCAAAGUCAUGGUUAAGUGGGAAACGAUGUGGGAAGGCCCAGACAGCCAGGAUGUUGGCUUAGAAGCAGCCAUCAUUUAAAGAAAGCGUAAUAGCUCACUGGUCGAGUCGGCCUGCGCGGAAGAUGUAACGGGGCUAAACCAUGCACCGAAGCUGCGGCAG
rnacentral:rRNA from 1 species